rnacentral:rRNA from 1 species
UACGUAGGGUCCGAGCGUUGUCCGGAAUUACUGGGCGUAAAGAGCUCGUAGGUGGUUUGUCGCGUUGUUCGUGAAAACUCACAGCUCAACUGUGGGCGUGCGGGCGAUACGGGCAGACUGGAGUACUGCAGGGGAGACUGGAAUUCCUGGUGUAGCGGUGGAAUGCGCAGAUAUCAGGAGGAACACCGGUGGCGAAGGCGGGUCUCUGGGCAGUAACUGACGCUGAGGAGCGAAAGCGUGGGGGAGCGAACAGGAUUAGAACCGUACGUA